CAUGGGUUUGAUGUGUCUCUUAGUUUCUCUUCUAGCUAAAUUCCCACAGUCUCUAAUAAAAGCAUAAACACGCCAGAGAAUAAAUAUAAUAACAAUUAUAUUUCAAAAGGAGGGACAGGGUCCCGCUUCAAUCUGAAGAACCCUUUAUGUAGGCUAUUUGGUAAAGCACAGGGGUCUGUAGAGGUACACAUUGUACAACAUAAUUUUUUUUUUAUGGUUCAGUCAACAUUCCUGUUUACUUUCAACUCUGAUGACACACAGUGACGUGACCCACCUGCAGACAUUAUCUGAUUGCUUUCGAAUAGUUAGCUGUAUCAUGAGCCGGGAGACAAUGAUCACUACAGGGAAAUAAUGCACAUUAUUUAGACGUGAGCGUAAAAAAAAUCAGUUGGAGGUUGAAAUUAGGCAAAACGUUUUUUUCAUCAAACAUGUAUUAAAGGCGAAUGGACUACUGGGGGGGUGAUUGUGGAAGGAUUUCCACAGUGUUUACCAGACUGUUCUUUAUAAGGCAGCUCAGAUAUUUUAUAUUUGUGACAGAAUGAUCUGUGUAUCAUACAGCCGUCCGGUGGCUAGUGCGAUGUAUCUUUCAGCCGUCCGGUGGUGCGGUGUGUCAUACAGCCGUUAGGUGGCUAGUGCGGUGUACCAUACAGCCGUCUGGUGGCUAGUGCGGUGUAUCAUACAGCUGUCCGGUGGCUAGUGCGGUGUACCAUACAGCCGUCCGGUGGCUAGUGCAGUGUAUCAUACAGCUGUCCGGUGGCUAGUGCAGUAAGCCAGAACGUCCGGCUAAGGCAGACAGCAUGGCUAGGGACCAAUGGCUUGCGGUCACAAAACUCCCACAGAAAGCCAGUGCGCUACUAUCGACUGUGGCCAUACAGGAUAUGUUCAUGUAAAAGGCUGCAAGCUAAGACACACAUUAUCUUGGGCAAUGUCACGCACCCACCCUAGAGCACUCCAACGCAGCACAGAAGGAGCUUUAGUGUCAGAUUCAUCCCGCCCCGGAGCUCCACUCUGAGCUUUAGAUGGUUAUUCGUACACACAACCUGCUUGUUUGCGCCCAGAGGAUGAACAACAGUGUUUCUUAGUAUUCCAAAUGAGUCUUUCUCUUUGACUAAUUUGGGCUGGUGCCUUAAGAUUAUGUUUUAAUGUUUUCCUCACGUGUUCGCCAUUGAUCUGUGUCGUGUCCUUGAUGAUUGAUGACG
ensembl:lncRNA